UACGGAGGGUGCGAGCGUUGUCCGGAAUCAUUGGGCGUAAAGGGCGCGUAGGUGGCCCGGUCAGUUCGUGGUGAAAGCGCGGGGCUCAACCCUGCGUCGGCCAUGAAUACUGCCGCGGCUGGAGCACUGUAGAGGCAGGCGGAAUUCCGGGUGUAGCGGUGGAAUGCGUAGAGAUCCGGAAGAACACCGGUGGCGAAGGCGGCUCUCUGGACAGGUACUGACGCUGAGACGCGAAAGCGUGGGUAGCAAACAGG
rnacentral:rRNA from 1 species